UUCAACUAUCAUAAUUCAACAUAAUGUUAUUAACAUUUUUCAAUUCUAUUAUUUAACAUACAAGAAUUAAUGAUUGAUGAUGUUGUAGCAAAAUUUUUUGACGUGGACAUUUAUAACUGGACAGUUUCUCUAACUACUAUAAACAAUAUUAUUUACUAAUGUUCGAACAAUGACGAUUCGUUACUUCGAUUUUAAUAAAAUUAAAAUUUGGGUUUUUCUAUUAAUUUUUCAAAUUAAUACAUUGACAAUAACAUCAAAAUUAGUUCCAAUUCAGAAAUGUGAUCCGACAGAAUGGCGUGAACAUGGAGUGGCAGGUAAGUUUUAAAAAAAACUAUAGUUAUUUAAUCAUUCGAUUAGGAGAAAAUUGCGAUAUUUUAACAUUAUUUUUUCCUAAUUUUCAAUUUCCGUAGAUAUUGGCAGUAAUUAAUUACUGUUAAUUUAAAAUAUUUAUGUAUGGUCAUUAUUAAAAUUUAAUUUUUUUGUCUUUGAAUACUGAAACGGCAUACGUAAAACUGGGGGUUGUACCGUUACAAGUAGCCAACAAGAACAAGAACAUUAUCGCGAUAUACUAGCUAUCACUGGUAACAUUUGCAUGUGAACGAGAUGAUAAUUUACAUUCCAAAAACGAGCGUGGUGAAUUACUUGAUUCAAUCUGUUUCGAUCCCGUUUCAGUUGAAGAUGGAUAUGUUGCAACUGGCGCGAGAUUUAAAAGACACGGUAACAUAAUAUACCUUGAACUCCAACAAGGAAUAUUAUCACAAGGAAAAAUUGAUCCAACAACGCUCAAGUGGACGACUUCAAAUAAUUGUAACUUAAAAAGAAAGUUAUUGAUAAUGUCCAAUAUAAUGGUAGAUACGAUGGUUUAAAUAUCAUACUAAACGAUCUUACUUUAUUAGAGAAUGCAGUCGUCACAGGUGUUACGUUUAAUGAUUCAUUGCGCGGACGAUAUGUCGAUGACGAUGGUAAUAUUAAAGAAAAUGAAUCCGAAAUUACACAAAAAAUUCGAUGCCAUCGAAGUGCCACCGAUUUGGUACAUCGUGGUCCAGAUCUUCUGCCGUCCACAGCUUUAAUAGGGAAUAAUUACGAACGCGGUGAAUCAUGCAAUUAUAAGAUCGUUUUUAGUGGAACUAAAGAGAGUUCUGAUAAUAUACAACAUGUACACUGAAAGAAAUUUUCUUUAAAAAUUACCGUUAUAUUCACGGUAAUCGUGGGACGAAUGGCACGACCUAAUCAUUGGUCAGUAAGUGUGAUAAUUUUUAACUUUUUUUCAACAAGUUUUACCGUAGUCUACUGUAAAUUUUAUUCGGUUUUCGGUAAAUUUUAUAAAAUCUACCACAACAUAAAUAAAUUUCUUCGUAAUUUUUAUUUCAAAAAUGGUAAUAACUAAAAGUGCCGCAUUAUGUCCAACAAAUACAGUGAAUUCAACGGUAAUUUUUAAAGUAUAUUUCUUUCCGUGUAGUUCCGUUAGGGGUGUGGUGCAUCCCUCCAGAGAAUUUCUCUACAUUAUAAAAUCUCUCAAAGUUUUUCCCUACACGAGUCAACUCUACAGACAAAUUUUUACAUCGCAAUAACUCUACAAACGAUUAUUUUCACAUCGAUCCAUCUCUACAUGAGAACAUCUCUCAUAUUGAAAAUCUCUACAGCGAUUCAACUCUACAGCGAUUCAACUCUACAGAGAUUAUUUUUACAUGCCGCUGAGUUCAAACAGUAGAAUUUUUGUUAUGACAUUUCAUUAAUAAAGUAGGUUAAUUAUAUAAAAGAAAGAAUGAAUGAAAUUAAAAUAAAAUUAUUAAUAUGCAGAGUGAUUGCAACUUCGAGAACUUUUUUAAGCUUUGCAUAAAUGACUAAUUAGUA